rnacentral:lncRNA from 1 species
CAACCGAAGUUGCCCCCUUGAAUUCUGCGCGCGACCGCCCUUAAAUAUCCUGGCAUUUAAUGCAUGCAUGCCGGAGUCUUUUCAAAUCGGGGCGAUCCGAAGAGACUUUUCAAAAUUUCUGCUGGAGCGUUGCUCCAGGUGCCACGCCAUAAUGGCCCUGCCAGCAGUCAACCGUAUGCCAUGGUGAGUGGGACACAUGGCGGGCAUUGGUCGGCCUAGGGAUAUCCACCGUCAUGACUGUGCCAGGCCCUGUUGCCUAUUUAAACCCACUCCCUCCCUCCAGGGACUUCACUUCGCUUGAGAGUCCAGUCGGCGCCUUUCUUCUAUCUGAGAGUUCUGCCGCCCAUCGGCGCCCUUUUCGACCCUAAGCGUUCUUUGCGUCAAUCCCCGCCAUCUCCGCUGGCUCCCCGCCUACGUCAGGCCAAUCUAGGUUGGUCCCGAAACUUCUCUUGUCAUUGCUGUUGUUCCUUCCUCUUCUUGCUUUGUUUGUUCAGCUUCCGAGGGUAUUUUCGCAAUCUUUUCUGAUCUUUCGGGAUUUCCUUCUUUCUUUUCUCUUGUUGCAGGCACGGACGUAGGA